rnacentral:rRNA from 1 species
UACGUAGGGGGCGAGCGUUGUCCGGAUUUACUGGGCGUAAAGAGCGCGUAGGCGGAAAUUUAAGCGUGGCCUGAAAGCCCCCGGCUCAACCGGGGAGUGCGGCUGCGAACUGGGUUUCUUGAGGACGAUAGAGGAGAGUGGAAUUCCUGGUGUAGCGGUGAAAUGCGUAGAUAUCAGGAGGAACACCCGAGGCGAAGGCGGCUCUCUGGGUCGUACCUGACGCUGAGGCGCGAAAGCGUGGGCAGCGAACAGG